UCCUACGGGUGGCUGCAGUAAGGAAUAUUGGACAAUGCCCGCAAGGGUGAUCCAGCCAUGCCGCGUGCAGGAAGACGGCCCUAUGGGUUGUAAACUGCUUUUAUACCGGAGAAAACCUCUGUUCGUGAACAGAGCUGAUAGUAUGGUAGGAAUAAGCAUCGGCUAACUUCGUGCCAGCAGCCGCGGUAAGACGAAGGAUGCAAGCGUUAUCCGGAUUCAUUGGGUUUAAAGGGAGCGUAGGUGGCCUUAUAAGUCAGUGGUGAAAUCUCUGGGCUUAACCCAGAAAUUGCCAUUGAUACUGUAGGGCUUGAGUAUAGUUGCCGUUGGCGGAAUAUGACAUGUAGUGGUGAAAUACAUAGAGAUGUCAUAGAACACCGAUUGCGAAGGCAGCUGACGAAACUAUAACUGACACUGAGGCUCGAAAGUGCGGGGAUCAAACAGGAUUAGAUACCCGGGUAGUCCGG
rnacentral:rRNA from 1 species